GUGGGUGGGGUUGGUCUUCUGCUCAAGAGAGAGAGAAAAAGUAACUAAUCAAGCCACUAUCACCAGUUAUUCAUUAUAUUUUCACAGAGGGCAGGUUCCAGAGAGAAAAGCACCUAAGACAGGUUAUUUCCUGGUAGUCCAAGCAGAGGGAAAACAGGUAACUCUGGGACAGGUAGAGAUGGGUGCUACAACAAAAACUGAAAGAGAGAGCACAAGCAGGCAGAGCGGCAGGCAAAGGGAAAGG